CGGUGAGUAGCGCAGCCUGGUAGCGCACCUGCCUUGGGAGCAGGGGGUCGCUGGUUCGAUUCCAGUCUCACCGA
rfam:Geobacteraceae bacterium GWC2_55_20 gwc2_scaffold_2003, whole genome shotgun sequence.